UCGAGAGAGGCCUCCAACUGCUGCUGGAGCCCAUGUGAUUGAGGGCUGAUGGACUCUGAUGUUGUGAGCCUGUUGUUUGAGUUUGUGGGUCCCAGGACAGAAGGAUCCACAGUACCGCCAGUCAACGAGUGGGGAUUAGGCUCCCUCAGGCUUCUCUGCACUAAGAUGUCCAGGACAUAGUCGUCACAAGUUUUAUAGCGAGUUGAGGAAACAAGGCAUGUGGAACUAAUGGAAGAGAAUUAAGCCCUGAAAUGUGUGGUUCUGCUUAGAAUGGAUGCAGUAAGCAUUUAGCAAAGAAGAUAUUAGUGUGAGCUGAAGAAUUAAUACUGACACGGCUUAUGGAGAGAAACUUGCCCUGGGCUUAUGAAGAGGGGAAGGAUUCCUGGAGAAGUCUCAGAUGGCAAGGACUUCCAGGCCCAGAGCAGAGGCUGGAGGAAGGAAUUCAUGGAACAUGACCUGAGUGCAGAGGAGAUGUGAUUAAGUUAAGAA
rnacentral:lncRNA from 10 species